rnacentral:rRNA from 1 species
AGGGGAAUAUUGGACAAUGGGCGACAGCCUGAUCCAGCCAUGCCGCGUGAGAGAUGGAGGCCCUGGGGUUGUAAAGCUCUUUAACCGGUGAAGAUAAUGACGGUAACCGGAGAAGAAGCCCCGGCUAACUUCGUGCCAGCAGCCGCGGUAAUACGAAGGGGGCUAGCGUUGUUCGGAUUUACUGGGCGUAAAGCGCACGUAGGCGGACUUUUAAGUCAGGGGUGAAAUCCAGGGGCUCAACCCCGGAACUGCCUUUGAUACUGGAAGUCUUGAGUAUGGUAGAGGUGAGUGGAAUUCCGCGUGUAGAGGUGACAUUCGUAGAUAUUCGGAGGAACACCAGUUGCGAAGGCGGCUCACUGGACCAUUACUGACGCUGAGGUGCGAAAGCGUGGGGAGCCAACAGG